UCCUAUUCAUCAUGCAGGAUGUCAGAAUCUUCAUUUCAAAUUGGACCAAUCCUUCUUGUGAAUGAACCCUUCACGAUUGAUAAUGGUCUAAUGACACCUACUUUGAAAAUUCGAAGAGAUAGAGUUGUGGCUCAAUACAGG